rnacentral:lncRNA from 1 species
GUUUUGUUGUGGUUGUGUUUUGUUUUGUUUUGUUUUGUUUCGAGAUGGAGUCUCACUCUGUCGCCCAGGCUGGAGUGCAGUGGCACUAUCUCAGCUCACUGCAACCUCCACCUCCCAGGUUCAAGCGAUUCUUCUGCCUCAGCUUCCUGAGUAGCUGGGACUACAGAUGAGCACCACCACGCCUGGCUAAUUUUUGUAUUUUUAGUGGAGAUGGGGUUUCACCAUGUUGUCCAGGCUGGUCUCGAACUCCUGACCUCAGGUGAUUUGCCCACCUCGGCCUCCCAAAGUGCUGGGAUUACAGGCGUGAGCCACGUGCCCAGCCGGCCACUGGGUAUUUUUAAGAACCAAGGAGAGAGGAGGUUUUGAAUGGCAGAAGAUUAGAAGACUAGACCCAGCUGCUGAAACAAAGGCCAGGUGGUGGGGCCCUCCAGUAGGGACCCCCAAACCACUGGCUGGUUCUCACCAUUAGGUGCUUUCACUGGCCUCUGCCUUUGCAUGCACUGUUCCUGGCCUGAAACACCCUUCACCUCACUCUUGGCCUUCAACGCUUAACCUUCAUUGAACACCAUGUGGAUUUGAGUGACAUUCCAAGAUUUGGAGCAGAUUGAAUUUGGUGUUGAGAGGAGCAAGAGAGAGAAAGACGUCAAAAUAAGUCAAAUGUGUUCCUACUGGUGUAUUGCAACUUGUAGUGAUGCAGGAAGUGGGGAAAUUGGAAAGGAGGGAGUUUGUGGGGGAGGAGAUGCUCUCCUUCUUUGAGCAGGGUGGAUUUCUCCGGCCAGUGACACAGUCAUUGAGGACAGCCAAAGUCAUCAAGAAAAGACACAGUGAGAACUCAGCCUUGGGGGUGGUGACCUGGGAGUCCCUGGGUUGCUAGUUAGUGGUCAGAACUGGGCCUGAUGGACAAACUCAGGCAAGGUAGGGGUUAGGUGGGGACCAAAGCAGGCCAGGCUGAUGGUGGAGUGCGCAGGGCCAGGCACCCUCCCUGGAGGCAUCAGCCUGGGCUUGCUUUACUACUCUGGAAGGGAACCCAAGCCCCAGGACGCUAAAUCUUAUGCCAAUGUUCAAAUAUAACCAUUUCUUUCUUUUUUUUUUUUUUUUUUUUGAGACGGAGUCUCUCUUUGGAGUGCAGUGGCGCCAUCUUGGCCCCCUGAAACCUCCGACUCCCUGGUCCAAGCGAUUCUCCUGCUUCAGCCUCCCGCGUAGCUGGGAUUACAGGCAUGCGCCACCGUGGCCAGCUAAUUUUUGUAUUUUCACUAGAGACAGGGUUUCACCAUGUUGACCAGGAUGGUCUCGAUCUGCUGACCUUGUGAUCCGCCCGCCUCGGUCUCCCAAAGUGUUGUUGGGAUUACAGGCAUGAGCCACCACGCCGG